rnacentral:lncRNA from 1 species
AUUCUUGCACAGCUGCAUGGCAAUAAUUUUUAUGUUUGUUAAAAUUACAUUCUUGCUAUUUUGUCAUAACACUCACUCCAGAGUGAAGCCUGGGAAGAAUGACAUGGUCAUAAUAAGAGCAAAUGGAAUAACUCUGACAGUCUCAGGUGCCAUUGUCUGUCCCUCGCGAUUGUCUCGCCAGCAAGAACAACGCAGGACACUCAGAUCCUUCUGCAGUAAAGCUUUAAUGCAUCUUGAGAGAGAGCGCAUAAGCUUACAGAGCGGAGACCCCCGAGCCAAGAAUCCCGUCCCCUAAUAAAGGCUCAUAAAACUCUGAUCGGUGCGUGUACAGCUGGGAUAGGUGGAUGACUCGUCACCCUAUAUGACGCCAUGGAAUAGGCGGGGCUAAGCAGUGGAGAAGCACUGGGCACAUGCAUACCAACGUUGUUUACUUGAUCCGGCAGCAGAUGUCAGCGCCAUCUUGUAAUGGCGAAUGUGAGUGCGGCUCCUCACAAUUGUCACUUUAACCUUCCAUGACACCUGCAUUUCUCCAUCCAUGUUUAGUCUGGGAUAUUCUGAUAUCGAGUUUAAUGGUUCUUCAGUACUCAAAUGUGGUGGGUUUGUUAUCAGUAGGUUCCUCUUUGGUGUCUUGCUGUUUACCUGAGACCUUAAUUCCAGCCCAUCUUCCCCCAUCAGCACACUUCGGCUCUGCUACUGCUCUCUUCUUCAUCUGUGUUCCCCUCUUCCUGAUAGUAACUGAAGGACAAACUCAGUAAGGCAAACUCUCCUGAUGAGAACUCCCCUGGGCUAGCUUACAGAAUCACACUCCUCUGAUUGAUACCAAUUGCAGGAAGUUUGGACCUGGUGCCCUGGGUUUCUCAAGGAACUUUUCAAGAAUCCAAGCUGAG